rnacentral:rRNA from 1 species
GACGAACGCUGGCGGCGUGCUUAACACAUGCAAGUCGAACGGAAAGGCCCUGCUUUUGUGGGGUGCUCGAGUGGCGAACGGGUGAGUAACACGUGAGUAACCUGUCCUUGAAUUUGGGAUAACUUCAGGAAACUGGGGCUCAUACCGGAUAGGAGCUCCUGCUGCGUGGUGGGGGUUGGAAAGUUUCGGCGGUUGGGGAUGGUCUAGCAGCUUAUCAGCUUGUUGGUGGGGUAGUGACUUACAAAGGCUUUGACGGGUAGCCGGCCUGGGAGCGUGACCGGCCACAAGGCGACUGCGAUACGCCGCAGACGCCAACGGGAGGCAGCAGUGGGAAAUAUUGCACAAUGGGCGGAAGCCAGAGGCAGCAACGCCGCGUGCGGGAUGACGUCCUUCGGGUUGUAAACCGCUUUCUCCGGUGACGAAGCGAGAUUGACGGUAAUGGGUAAAGAAGCAACGGCUAACUACGUG